GAUGAACGCUGGCGGCGUGCCUAACACAUGCAAGUCGAGCGGCAGCGCGUUUUACACUGAAUUCUGGAAGCUUCUAGUUGAAAGAGAAGAUUUAUUCAAGAAUUUUGUGUAAAAUGUCGGCGAGCGGCGGACGGCUGAGUAACGCGUGGGAACGUACCCCAAAGUGAGGGAUAACGCAUCGAAAGGUGUGCUAAUACCGCAUAUGGUCUUCGGAUUAAAGCCUUCGGGCGCUUUGGGAACGGCCUGCGUAAGAUUAGAUAGUUGGUGGGGUAAUGGCCUACCAAGUCGACGAUAGUUAACUGGUUUGAGAGGAUGAUCAGUCAGACUGGAACUGAGACACGGUCCAGACUCCUACGGGAGGCAGCAGUGAGGAAUCUUCCACAAUGGGCGAAAGCAUGAUGGAGCAACGCCGCGUGAAGGAUGAAGGACUUCGGGUUGUAAACUGCUUUUAUAAGUGAGGAUUAUGACAGUAACUUAUGAAUAAGGAUCGGCUAACUACGUG
rnacentral:rRNA from 1 species